CCUCCACCCCCUCCACGCAACCCUCCACCCUCCACAACCCCCACACCCCUCCACGCUGCACAACCCUCCACCCUCCCCAACCCCUCCACGCUGCACAACCCUCCACGCUGCACAACCGUCCACCCUCCACAACCCCUCCACAACCCUCCACGCUGCACAACCCCUCCACGCCUACACAACCCCUAUAACAACCCCUCCAUAACCUCCAUGCUACCACACCCCAUACAACCCCUCCACAACCCCUCCACGCUACACAACCCCUAUACAACCCCUCCACGCUACACAACCCAUACAACCCUCCACAACCUAUAACAACCCCUCCACGCUGCACAACCCCUCCACGCUGCACAACCCCUCCACACCCCUCCACGCUGCACAACCCCUCCACGCUACACAACCCCUAAUAACCCCUCCAAGUUACAAACCCCUCCACAACCCCUCCACGUUGCACACGCCCUCCACGCUACACAACCCCUAAUAACCCCUCCAGUACAAACCCCUCCACACCCCUCGACGCUGCACAACCCCUCCACGCUGCACAACCCCUCCACGCUAUACAACCCCUCCACGCUUCACAACCCCGCCCCGCUGCACAACCCCUCCACGCUAACACACAAGCCCUGCACAACCCCUAUACAACCCCUCCACGCUACC
rnacentral:lncRNA from 1 species